UACAGAGGGUGCGAGCGUUGUUCGGAAUUACUGGGCGUAAAGCGCGCGCAGGCGGCCCUUUAAGUCUACCCGUGAAAUGCCGGAGCUCAACUCCGUGCACGCCGGGGGAUACUGGGAGGCUGGAGACAUGUAGAGGCAAGCGGAAUUCCGGGUGUAGCGGUGGAAUGCGUAGAGAUCCGGAAGAACACCUGAGGCGAAGGCGGCUUGCUGGGCAUGAUCUGACGCUGAGGCGCGAAAGCGUGGGGAGCAAACAGG
rnacentral:rRNA from 1 species